GACGAACGCUGGCGGCGUGCUUAACACAUGCAAGUCGAACGGAAAGGCCCUGCUUUUGUGGGGUGCUCGAGUGGCGAACGGGUGAGUAACACGUGAGUAACCUGCCCUUGACUUUGGGAUAACUUCAGGAAACUGGGGCUAAUACCGGAUAGGAGCUCCUGCUGCAUGGUGGGGGUUGGAAAGUUUCGGCGGUUGGGGAUGGACUCGCGGCUUAUCAGCUUGUUGGUGGGGUAGUGGCUUACCAAGGCUUUGACGGGUAGCCGGCCUGAGAGGGUGACCGGCCACAUUGGGACUGGGAUGCGGCCCAGACUCUAACGGGGGGAAGAAGGGGGGAAUAUGGCACAAGGGGCGGAAGCCGGAGGCAGAAACGCCGCGUGCGGGAUGACGGCCUUCGGGUGGUAAACCGCUUUCGCCUGUGACGAAGCGUGAGGGACGGUAAUGGGUAAAGAAGCACCGGCUAACUACGG
rnacentral:rRNA from 1 species